UACAGAGGGUGCGAGCGUUGUCCGGAAUCACUGGGCGUAAAGGGCGCGUAGGCGGCCCGGUAAGUAGGAGGUGAAAUCUUGCGGCUCAACCGCAAAAUGGCCUUCUAAACUGCCAGGCUGGAGCACGGUAGAGGCAGGUGGAAUUCCCGGUGUAGCGGUGGAAUGCGUAGAGAUCGGGAAGAACAUCGGUGGCGAAGGCGGCCUGCUGGACCGUUGCUGACGCUGAGGCGCGACAGCGUGGGGAGCAAACAGG
rnacentral:rRNA from 1 species